rnacentral:pre_miRNA from 1 species
AGGAAUAACAACAGUGGCGGCGGCCAGCUCUGGAGCCCUGGAUUCAGCUCCUGCAGGAAUUACGGAGCUCUCAGUCUGCAGGGGCCUGGAUGUUCUGGUUGCAG